UUAAAUUUUUUUUUGAUAAAUGUCGUUCGGCCCAUCUGAAAAGGAUUUGUUGGUAUACAUUCUCAAUUAGAUUACUCAGUUUUUCAAAAUUUUUGCUUCAGAUUGUUUAAAUUUAUUGUGAUCAUCAUCAUCCGACAUCUCUCCCCUGCUUAUCCUACAUUAUAUAAUUUUUGAACUCUCACUGCCACUGUAAGGUGUUUCUGAUAAAAACCACUGAAUAAUCUUCUCUUCUCUUUUCCUUCAAAUAAAAGUUGUUGUACUUUAUGUAAUAUUAACUUGCUGACCAUGUCUUCACUCUCUGCCUUUGUCUUGCUUUAUUAAGAGCAGGAAAACGAGACCCGCAGUUCCGAAGAAGUAAAUAGCAUAGAGGUCUUGAUAUGUUACAACUUAUGAACUCUUUUCGACACUUUUUUUAAUUAAAAUUUCAUUUCCAACUUCUCUUAAUUGGAGUUAGAAUUUUGGGAGCCAAGAUUUUGUUUUUCUAGAUCUUCUUGACCAUUCCAGCUUAGUCUACAGCAUCCCCUGCGAAACUGUUUUACUUCAGAUGUAAAAGUUUCCAAAGAUGGACUUUCUUAACUCAUUCAGGAAUUUACAUGAUGUAUGUCCAAAUUGUAAUUUCUUUAGAGCUAUUUGUAAGAUCUACUUCUUUGUUAACUGUCAAUUUACAUAAAUCUUUAUCUUUAAUCUUUGAAGUACAUGGAAAAAUUGUUAAAUCUUCAUUGCCUCUCAUUACUUUAAUGAACUGAUCUUCACAGGGAUACAAUUCUUACCAAGCUUUUACUUUAGCUUGAGGGCAGAUAUCAACUUCCAAGAUCUUUUUGACUAUUUCAGUCUUCAGGUUCCCAGGAGAUGCAUUUUCUUAACUUAUUCAGAAAUUUAGUUGUCUUUAAAGCAUACGGCAGCAUUUUAUUUGCCCAAUUUUAAUUUCUGCGCUGCUAUUUGGUUGCAAUUCUCAGACCCCUCUGACUGAUCUCAAUAAAGCAAAGUUUCUACUUAGUAACGGAGGAGAUCUCCGAUUAACAUAUUGCACAACUUUCUUGGUUGCUGAUACUGCAGUAGUACUACUAGAGUCUCUAACUCAUUCAAUAGCUAUAGAAUUUAAACGUGUAUUUUCAACAAACAGAAUAUAUAUAUAUAUAUAUAUUUUUUUUUUCCCUUAUUAAUGUUGAUGUUCUUGCUUUCCAUGUAGUAAAAGAUUGUGUAAUUGCUCUACGUUUAAGAAACUAUUUCAGCCCCUUAUAAGAAAAAAGUUGACUUUUAAAUUAUAUAUAAAUAUUCGAGUAUCUCCAAUCUCAAAAGCUAAUAGCGUGGAACUAUGGAUUGGAAAAAAUAUAUAUAUAUAUAUAUCACCAAACACAAUUGGCAUAUGCAACCACAAACUUUAAGACGAUAUGUGUUCAGAGUGAAAGGAAGAUCCCAAUUCCAAUUGGAAGGAAAGUUUGGCAUGCACUUGAGCUUCCAAAGUAGUCCUUGGAAAUGAAAUUGAGAGGUUCUAGAUACACCAUCAAACCAGUCUUAUACACUCCCUUUAAUAUUUCUGGGUUUGAUCUCCUUACUAUCCAGUGCUACUCAAACCUGCAGAUCUGAUGAUUGCAGUCAGCUUUCCCUGCAUAACCAAUAUUAUUCCAGAUGUUUGAGUUUCUAAAUAUAGUGUUUCUUGAUUUAUUCAUUUAACAAAAACAAUGUAUAACAUGUUAUUUAGUUUCAAUAAAACAGAAAAAGAAAAAAUUUGCAUGAUGUUUAAAGCAUAUGACAGCAUUGACCAUCAUUCUAGGAAGUGGGGUGCACAAAUUAUGCGCCAGGUUUCGAGAACAUAACCUUGUGGAUCUUUUUAUACCUUCAACGAUGAAUGUAGGCUUAAUACCUGAAAGAUUAAUUAUCUGAUGUUCUCCGCCUAUUACAGGUCACAGGAUUGGGCAGAAGAAGCAAAAGAAGGUUAUGAAAACUAUCCAGUCAAUGCGAUUAUCAGUGGGUGCACUUUCUUGAUUGACAUCAUUGGAAUAGGGUAACAUCAAGUUUGAAUUUUCUUAGAAACUGCAUGAUCUUGUUAACUCUUUAGAAUGUAGACAUUUCAUAACAUAUUUUCAGAUAGUUGUUAUCAUGGUUUUUCUGCUCUUUAAAGCUGUAAAAAGAGGGUUUAAAUAUAGUACUAGCAGAAUUUUUUCUUUUUAUUCUUCCUAUGUUCCAUUUUUAUAUAUUUAUGAGCAUGGAUGUGCCAUAUCCAGUAGAUGGAAAAAGUGCCCUUUUAUGUCUAGAGUUUUCAUCUUCUGAAAUGACCCCUUAAUUUAUGAAAAACUUGCAAUUCUUAAUUGUAUGUGUGCUUUAUCAUGCUAACGGCUAUCAUUAGAUGCGAUAGGCCUUGAGGUACUUCUUGUCAUAAUGGAAAAACCACUGACUAUGCUUUCUUCUCUUUCCUUAUCCUAGAAUAGAAGUAGUUAUACUUGAUCUAAAAUUCAAUAUCCAUUUAAUUUCCUGUUCAUUUCUUCCCUGUGGCACACCCUGCGGUCCAACAGUGAAUCUCUUAUUAUGCUGUUGAUUUCCUUUUGGUUUUCCACCUUCAGGAGACAAUUUUUUCUGCUAUUCUUCUAUUAUAUUGUUUCAAAGUGUUUUUGGGAUUUAAAUUCUUACCCAAGAAAUGGAGGGGUUUGAGCUCCCUACUUUUUAGUUUUACUGCUAUUCAACCUCCCUUUGGUCUAUUGCAUUCUGCUUCCCCUGCAUAACCGGUUUUACUUCAGAUAUCUUAAGUUUCCAAAUAUGGAUUUUCUUAACUCAUUCAGGUAAUAAAAAGCAUGUAUUAAAGAUUAACAACAAAAAUAUGUAAUUUAUACCAGUUUCAAACACAGUGAAUUUUUUCUGCAGAAAUUUACAGUGUUUAUGUGACAGCAUUGUAUUGCCAAAUUGCAAUUUCUGUGCAGAUAUUUGCAAGAUCUGAUUCUCUGUUAUCUGUACAACUUUUUAUUUCUCAUAUUACUCAUUAAACCAGUAUUUGACUUGAUCUUUGUUAUUGUUUCAAUAUAUAUAUAUAUAUAAUAUGUGAUGUGAUAGUCCUUUUUUGGUGCCUCUUUCUGGUUGUUCCUCCUCCUCCUCAUUAUGUUCCCCACUCCAGAAAUUUCACUUCUAAUCUUUGAAGUAAAUGAAUAAAUUUUAAAUAGGCUUCCUUGUUUCCCAUUACUUAAAUUGACUAAAUGAAUAAAUUUUAAAUAGGCUUCCAUGUUUCCCAUUACUUAAAUUGACUCUUGACAAGUUUGCAAUCCUCAUUCCCCACUGACUGAUCUCAAUAAAGCCAAGCUUCUAGAAACAAAUUGCAGCAGUUUAUUGGUUGCUGAUAUUGCAUUACCUAGAGUCUCUCAGUUCUUCUUUUCUUUUUUUUCUUUUUUUGUU